rnacentral:rRNA from 1 species
CCCUUAGAUGUUCUGGGCCGCACGCGCGCUACACUGAUGCAUUCAACGAGUCUAAAACCUGCUCUGAUAGGGGUGGGUAACCUUUUGAAUGUGCAUCGUGAUUGGGAUAGAUGAUUGCAAUUUUUCAUCUUCAACGAGGAAUGCCUAGUAAACGCAAGUCAUCAGCUUGCAUUGAUUACGUCCCUGCCCUUUGUACACACCGCCCGUCGCUCCUACCGAUUGAAUGAUCCGAUGAAUAUCAUGGAUUGAGGAUGCAAGUAGGUUCGCCUAUCUUCAUCUUCGAGAAGUGAAGUAAAUCUUAUCAUUUAGAGGAAGGAGAAGUCGUAACA